rnacentral:rRNA from 1 species
GCAAGUCGAAGGAGAAGGUGAAUGUUUGCAUUUACUGGAGACUGGCGCACGGGUGAGUAACGCGUAGGCAACCUGCCUUUUACUGGGGAAUAACAUUGCGAAAGUGGUGCUAAUACCGCAUAAAGCGUAGAGUUCGCAUGGACAGUAUGUUAAAGGCUUCGGCCGGUAAGGGAUGGGCCUGCGUGCCAUUAGCUAGUUGGUGAGGUAACGGCUCACCAAGGCGAUGAUGGCUAGGGGGUCUGAGAGGAUGGUC